GUAGGUGGCAAGCGUUGUCCGGAAUUAUUGGGCGUAAAGCGCGCGCAGGCGGUUCGUUUAAGUCUGAUGUGAAAGCCCACGGGCUCAACCGUGGAGGGUCAUUGGAAACUGGAGAACUUGAGUACGGAAGAGGAAAGCGGAAUUCCACGUGUAGCGGUGAAAUGCGUAGAGAUGUGGAGGAACACCAGUGGCGAAGGCGGCUUUCUGGUCUGUAACUGACGCUGAGGCGCGAAAGCGUGGGGAGCAAACAGGAUUAGAUACCCUGGUAGUCCACGCCGUAAACGAUGAGUGCUAAGUGUUAGGGGGUUUCCGCCCCUUAGUGCUGCAGCUAACGCAUUAAGCACUCCGCCUGGGGAGUACGGCCGCAAAGGCUG
rnacentral:rRNA from 1 species